AAUGGAUAUCCUGCAAGUCGGCUUCGUAGAGUCUCCCUUGAAAGUGGACCUCGUGAUCUAGCCUUUAUGUCCGUGGAUUGACACUGUGAUGGAUUCCCCCCAAGUUCAUUUAGAUAUUCUCUCUUAUUCAUAAAUGUCACGGUCAGCUCUGUUCUUAUAGAUACCAGAAUGGAUACCCCUAAGCUGAUGUAUAUACACCCUUCCUCGGUUGUGAGAUUCCUGCUCUGGUGGUUGUAGUCAUAAGAUAUACAUCGUUGCGUACACCUUGGUUGUGGGCACGCACACUACUGUUGAAUUACCACCUUGUCCAUGUGGAUGGAUGCCCUCAAUGGGAUUGGCACUUUCUCCAUUGCUCCUGCGCUCUGUUAUCAGCACUUCGGGUUCAUAAUGUACACACAGCAAUGGAUUUUCUGCAGCUGAUUUUCCAUAUUCUGUUUUCUUCGGGUAAGCAGAAACAGAUGCCUUCCUCACUGGUCACCAGGUUCAAGGUCCCUCAUAUGUGUCAGGUGCAUAGUCACCAACAAAGGCCAACUUCACAUCAAUGGGUGGAUCA
ensembl:processed_transcript Rian RNA imprinted and accumulated in nucleus